AUGGACGCCUUGGCGGGGCUCUCGGCCCUUGCCGCGGUGGCGCUGCUGCUGCUGUACAGCGUGCACCGGUGGAGGAGCCCUCGGUGCAACGGCCGGCUCCCGCCGGGGUCUAUGGGCCUCCCGCUCGUCGGCGAGACGUUCCAGUUCUUCUCCCCGGACGCCUCCUUGGACAUCCCUCGCUUCAUCCGACACAGGCUCACGAGGUACGGCCCGAUCUUCAAGACGAGCGUGGUGGGGCACCCGAUGGUGGUGUCGGCGGACCAGGAGCUGAACCACAUGGUGUUCCAGCAGGAGGGGGAGCUGUUCCAGAGCUGGUACCCGGACUCGUUCGUGGAGAUCCUCGGCCGCGAUAACGUCGGGGAGCAGAAGGGCACCAUGUUCAAGUACCUCAAGAACAUAGUUCUCAGGUACUUCGGCCCGGAGAGCCUUAAGGAGUCCAUCCUUGGCGACGUCGAGCGCGCCGUCUGCAGCUCGCUCUGCACCUGGUCCACCCUGCCGGCCGUCGAGCUCAAAGAAGCCGUCUCCACCAUGGUGUUUGAACUUUCCGCGAGCAAGCUGCUGGGCCUGGAGCCGUCGAGGUCCAAGGUUCUACGGAAGAGCUUCUUCGACUUCGUCAGAGGGCUCAUCUCCUUCCCGCUCUACUUGCCAGGAACAGCCUACUACGCAUGCAUGCAGGGACGGAUGAGUGUAAUGGAGGUGCUGCAGCAGGUGCUGGAGGAGAGGACGAGAUCGGCUGAGGCGGCCGGAGGACGGGAAGCACGGUGCCACGGCGACUUCCUGGACUACGUCGUGCAGGAGAUCACCAAGGAGAAGCCUGUCCUGACGGAGGGAAUGGCGCUGGACCUCCUGUUUGUGCUCCUCUUCGCCAGCUUCCACACGACGUCGCUGGCCAUCACCCUGGCCGUCAAGCUCCUCACCGAGCACCCUCGCGUCCUGGAGGAGCUCACGGUGGAGCAUGAAACGAUUCUGAACGAGCGUGAGGCAGGCGGCGAGUCUGAUGGCGACAGAGUUACAUGGAAAGAGUACAAAUCCAUGACAUUCACAUCCCAGGUGAUAAACGAGACGGUCCGACUGGCCAACAUUGCGCCUGGCAUCUUCAGAAAGACACUGAAAGAUGUACAGUUCAGAGGAUACACAAUUCCAGCUGGAUGGGGAGUGAUGGUCUGCCCUCUCGCGGUGCACCUUAAUCCAGAUAUUUACCCUGACCCCCUCACCUUCAAUCCUUCAAGGUUCAAGGAUAAACUAGAGGCAAACCGUGGGUUAAGACACUUCAUGGCUUUCGGAGGAGGUCUCCGGUCCUGUGUUGGGGCAGACUUCAGCAAGCUACAAAUGGCCAUUUUCCUUCACUUUCUUGUCACCAAAUAUAGGUGCCUCCAUUGUUUUAUAAUGAACCCAGUUGGAGUCCAAAAUUUUGUAAUUGUUCAUAUCCUCCAUUUCUUUGUCAUCAUUUGCUCCAACGUAUUUCAGGUGGAUACAACUAGGUGGAGGCAAGAUAGUCCGGUGUCCAGGGCUGGAAUUUCCUGA
rnacentral:rRNA from 1 species